rnacentral:rRNA from 1 species
AGCGAACGCUGGCGGCAGGCCUAACACAUGCAAGUCGAACGAACCUUUCGGGGUUAGUGGCGGACGGGUGAGUAACACGUGGGAACGUGCCUUUAGGUUCGGAAUAACUCAGGGAAACUUGUGCUAAUACCGAAUGUGCCUUUCGGGGGAAAGAUUAAUCGCCUUUAGAGCGGCCCGCGUCUGAUUAGCUAGUUGGUUGAGGUAAUGGCUCACCAAGGCGACGAUCAGUAGCUGGUCUGAGAGGAUGAUCAGCCACAUUGGGACUGAGACACGGCCCAAACUCCUACGGGAGGCAGCAGUGGGGAAUCUUGCGCAAUGGGCGAAAGCCUGACGCAGCCAUGCCGCGUGAAUGAUGAAGGUCUUAGGAUUGUAAAAUUCUUUCACCGGGGACGAUAAUGACGGUACCCGGAGAAGAAGCCCCGGCUAACUUCGU